GAUGAACGCUGGCGGCGUGCCUAAUACAUGCAAGUCGAGCGAACGGACGAGAAGCUUGCUUCUCUGAUGUUAGCGGCGGACGGGUGAGUAACACGUGGAUAACCUACCUAUAAGACUGGGAUAACUUCGGGAAACCGUAGCUAAUACCGGAUAAUAUUUUGAACCGCAUGGUUCAAAAGUGAAAGACGGUCUUGCUGUCACUUAUAGAUGGAUCCGCGCUGCAUUAGCUAGUUGGUAAGGUAACGGCUUACCAAGGCAACGAUGCAUAGCCGACCUGAGAGGGUGAUAGGCCACACUGGAACUGAGGCACGGUCCAGACUCCUACGGGAGGAAGCAGGGGGGAAUUUUGCGCAAUGGGCGAAAGCCGGACGGGACAACGCCGGGGGAGUAAUAGAGGUUUUAGGAUCUGAAAACUUUUUUUUGAGGGAAGAACAAAAGUGUAAGUAAAUGUGCAAAUCUUGAGGGUACCUAAUCAGAAAGCCACGGCUAACUCCGU
rnacentral:rRNA from 1 species